rnacentral:rRNA from 29 species
UAAACGACUCUCGGCAACGGAUAUCUCGGCUCUCGCAUCGAUGAAGAACGUAGCGAAAUGCGAUACUUGGUGUGAAUUGCAGAAUCCCGUGAACCAUCGAGUCUUUGAACGCAAGUUGCGCCCGAAGCCUUCGGGCUAAGGGCACGUCUGCCUGGGCGUCACGC